AUUAGAUACCCUGGUAGUCCACGCAGUAAACGAUGAAUGUCAGCUGUCCGGGACUUCGGUCCUGGGUGGCACAGCGAAAGCGUUAAACAUUCCACCUGGGGAGUACGCCGGCAACGGUGAAACUCAAAGGAAUUGACGGGGGCCCGCACAAGCGGAGGAACAUGUGGUUUAAUUCGAUGAUACGCGAGGAACCUUACCCGGGCUCAAACGUGACUGGAAUGUCCGCGAAAGCGGGCAGCCCUUCGGGGCCGGUUACGAGGUGCUGCAUGGUUGUCGUCAGCUCGUGCCGUGAGGUGUCGGCUUAAGUGCCAUAACGAGCGCAACCCCUACCGACAGUUGCUAACAAGCGAAGUUGAGGACUCUGUCGGGACUGCCGGCGCAAGCUGCGAGGAAGGCGGGGAUGACGUCAAAUCAGCACGGCCCUUACGUCCGGGGCGACACACGUGUUACAAUGGCGGGUACAGCGGGAGGCCAUGCGGCGACGCAGAGCGGAACCCGAAAGCCUGUCUCAGUUCGGAUCGGAGUCUGCAACUCGACUCCGUGAAGCUGGAUUCGCUAGUAAUCGCGCAUCAGCCAUGGCGCGGUGAAUACGUUCCCGGGCCUUGUACACACCGCCCGUCACACCAUGGGAGUUUGUAACGCCCAAAGUCGGUGGCCUAACCUUUAUGGAGAGAGGCGCCUAAGGCGGGACAGAUGACUGGGGUGAAGUCGUAACAAGGUAUCAAGGGCG
rnacentral:rRNA from 1 species